rnacentral:rRNA from 1 species
GACAGAGGGUGCAAACGUUGUUCGGAUUUACUGGGCGUAAAGCGCGUGUAGGCGGCUUUGCAAGUCGGAUGUGAAAGCCCACGGCUCAACCGUGGAAGUGCACCCGAAACUGAGUAGCUAGAGUACGAAAGAGGGUCGCGGAAUUCCCGGUGUAGAGGUGAAAUUCGUAGAUAUCGGGAGGAACACCGGUGGCGAAGGCGGCGACCUGGGUCGAGACUGACGCUGAGGCGCGAAAGCGUGGGGAGCAAACAGG